rnacentral:rRNA from 1 species
CCUACGGGAGGCAGCAGUGGGGAAUAUUGCACAAUGGAGGAAACCCUGAUGCAGCGACGCCGCGUGAGCGAGGAAGUAUUUCGGUAUGUAAAGCUCUAUCAUCAGGGACGAAAAAGGACGGUACCUGCCUACGAAGCCCCGGCUAACUACGUGCCAGCAGCCGCGGUAAUACGUAGGGGGCCAGCGUUAUCCGGAUUGACUGGGUGUAAAGGGAGCGUAGACGGGAAGGCAAGCCAGAAGUGAAAGGGCAGGGCUCAACCCUGGACAUGCAUUUGUAACUGUGGUCCUAGAGUGCAGGAGAGGUAAGUGGAAUUCCUAGUGUAGCGGUGAAAUGCGUAGAUAUUAGGAGGAACACCAGUGGCGAAGGCGACUGACUGGACUGUAACUGACGUUGAGGCACGAAAGUGCGGGUAUCGAACAGGAUUAGAUACCCGAGUAGUC